rnacentral:lncRNA from 1 species
AAUGAGAGAGGGGUUAAGGGUUUGGGAGUUCAUUUUUUUAUUUUUUUUAUUUUGAGAAUGAAAAUUAUUAAAAUACCCUUAAUCUUAAAACUUAGAAUUUAUGAUAUAAGGGUAUUUUUGUUUACUAAAACUCGGUACACAGUGCUAAAAUGUACCAACUGAAAAACAGGCGUACACAAGUUAGCAAACCCCAUAUAUAUAUAUAUAUAUAUAUAUUUGUAUCUAUCCGAG